GUGUCCGUAGUUCAGCGGCCGAGAACUCCUCCCUUCAGGAGGUAACGCCGGUUCGAAUCCGGCCGGACACA
rnacentral:tRNA from 2 species